UGUUCAGGUUGGCAGUCCUCAUGCACAGGUACCACAGGGACGUGUUUUUGCACUGGCACAGACCGAUGCAUCUUCUGGACCGUCAGUUCUUCGAGGUCUUGGAAAAGAAUCGGUGGACGACAACCCACCUCAAGCCUGAGCGAUACUAGAAGCUCACUUUUGUGUCUUUUGUAUAUCUCCCAUUAUUUUUGCAAAGCACUAAAAGUGUGAAGGUGUAUAUGUAUAUUUUGCAAAACUUUGUCAUGUAAUGUAAUUAAGGUAUUUGAUGAUAUUUUGGAUGUGAAUUUGAUAACAUGUAAACCUUAUUGAUGAAUGGGGAGAGUAAUACUAGUUUGAAGUAUUAUUGAGGUCA